UACAGAGGUCUCAAGCGUUGUUCGGAUUCAUUGGGCGUAAAGGGUGCGUAGGCGGCGCGGUAAGUCGGGUGUGAAAUCUCGGGGCUUAACUCCGAAACUGCAUUCGAUACUACCGUGCUUGAGGACUGGAGAGGAGACUGGAAUUUACGGUGUAGCAGUGAAAUGCGUAGAGAUCGUAAGGAAGACCAGUGGCGAAGGCGGGUCUCGUGGACAGUUCCUGACACUGAGG
rnacentral:rRNA from 1 species